GUGAUUCUCAAACGAAAAAUAACGAUCUUUCGCCAAAUUUACAGCAUGUACCAAAAAUUAUUACACUUGACAGUUAAAGUUAGCCAUAACCCUAGACACAAAACGAACGUAUCAUUUUUCCCCUGAAGAAGACGCCAUACCAGCGUCGAAACGUCGGGUUAAAUAAUAAAACUCGUUUUUAACA